GAGAGGAUCUGAAGCGCUGCACUGGGAACACAGAGUCUGAUGCGGGGCUUGAACCCACGAGCCACAGGAUCGUGACCUGAGCCGAAGUCAGAUACUUAACUGACUGAGCCACCCAGGUGCCCCCUCCUGGGUUCAUCUUGCAAGGGGCUCUCUGUGUUUCCUGGACCUGGAAGUCGGUUUCCCUCUCCAGAUUAGGAACUUGGGAAGCAUCUCUUAAUGUCAACAUGAACUUGAAAGCAACUGGCUGCAGAUGCUGAUUUCUGAAAGGACGGGAGUCUUCAACCCCAGCUGUGUCUGAAUGUCCAACAACAAAGCUGAUUCCAGGAGAGUUCUGCCACACACAAACUCUGAGACCACACAGCAAUGGCACCAUCAUCAGGGAGGUAACACAGCACACUCAGUGGCUGGCUCUCUCCCCACUUUUAAUUCUGGACAGAGUUGGGCGUGGGUUGAUAUGAUCAUCUGCUGCUCUUUUAGGAACAAAGGUGCCCAGCUGAGUUUGUUGAAGGGCUCCAGGCCAGAGUUCAGUCUUUCUCACUUAAUGUCACACAUCUGUAAGGUGCCUAGAUGAGGCUGGAGUAUGGAGAGUGACAAUCUGUGGCCACAUACGGAGACCACAGAUAUAAGGAGGCAGAUUCCUAGACCUUCGCUGGCUACCCCAGGGCUAUGUUUUACUCCAACAUUUAAAAAAGGCCAUCUAAAUACAUUUUCUUGAAAGAAA